rnacentral:rRNA from 1 species
GACGAACGCUGGCGGCGUGCCUAAUACAUGCAAGUAGAACGCACAGUUUAUACCGUAGCUUGCUACACCAUAAACUGUGAGUUGCGAACGGGUGAGUAACGCGUAGGUAACCUGCCUGGUAGCGGGGGAUAACUAUUGGAAACGAUAGCUAAUACCGCAUAAUAUUGAUUAUUGCAUGAUAAUUGAUUGAAAGAUGCUAUUGCAUCACUACCAGAUGGACCUGCGUUGUAUUAGCUAGUAGGUGAGGUAACGGCUCACCUAGGCGACGAUACAUAGCCGACCUGAGAGGGUGAUCGGCCCCACUGGGACUGAGACACGGCCCAGACUCCUCCGGGAGGCAGCAGUAGGGAAUCUUCGGCAAUGGACGAAAGUCUGACCGAGCAACGCCGCGUGAGUGAAGAAGGUUUUCGGAUCGUAAAGCUCUGUUGUAAGAGAAGAACGGGUGUGAGAGUGGAAAGUUCACACUGUGACGGUAUCUUACCAGAAAGGGACGGCUAACUACGUG